CCUGGGAGGAUGAAAUGCAAUAUGAGACUAAAGGGGACAGAAAAGGAAGCCUCUAGUAUCAGGUGUUUCUCCUGGAUAGCUCAUUAGCCUCUGCCUGAAACAGUUGGCCUGCUUUCUUCUCCACUGGACUCGGGGGGGCACCUGGAACUCUGCUGUCCUAGAGCCCCUGAGAACUCGGGUGCUGGAGCAGAUAGGUCUGGGCUGGAAGCCCGAGUCCACUACUGCUGAGCUGAAGAGUGGAGCAGGUCACUGAGACUCAGUAGCUUUAUCAGUCAAGUGGGGAGAGAGAGGAGUACCCCUCUCUGUCAGGUUGUUGUGAAGAGUGAGACCGUGCUCAGAAAGCCCUUGGCGUGCUGCCUGGCAGGAGAGCUCACUUAUGGCUAAUGUUUGUUUAGAGCUGACACUGUGUCAGUCUCUGUGCUACCACCCGCUCUUUAUAAAUUAACUCCUUUUAUUUUAUUUUAUUUUUGUAGAGACAGAGUCUCACUUUAUGGCCCUCAGUAGAGUGCCGUGGCCUCACACAGCUCACAGCAAUCUCCAACUCCUGGGCUCAAGCGACUCUCCUGCCUCAGCCUCCCGAGUAGCUGGGACCACAGGCACCCACCACAACGCCCAGCUAUUCCCUGGUUGCAGUUUGGCCGGGGCUGGGCUCGAACCCGUCACCCUCGGCAUAUGGGGCUGGCGCCCUACUGACUGAGCCACAGGCGCCGCCCUAUAACUCUUUCAGUCCUUUUAAAUGAUGGAAUCUGUGUAAAGAGCUUCACACAUUUUCUGAUACAUAUGGCCCAUGGAAGAUGAGAACAGAGCAGCCGGGCCAGGAGGCACCUUCCACGGAGAGCUGGCCCUCGCCUGCCACCCUCUCUGACAGCCAGAAUGGGAGUCCCACCAGGAGAGAAGAGAUGGGAAUUGACUUUUUGGAUUCUCCUAUAAGACUUCAAAAGCAGGGAUGAGUCGGCAGUGCUCUGAGGCCACUUAGCACUAAAGGAGUCUACAGCUAGUGAGAGCUGGCGAGCUCUGAGAAUAACUCUGCUGAGCUGUCUCUGCAGGAUGGGGUGCGACUUCCUCCAGAAACUGCUGCUUUCCUGAAAACUUGGAUUCCCGUAUGUGUUGUUAAUUCCUUAACAGGGAUCUCCCCCCCUCACCCC